rnacentral:rRNA from 1 species
CCCGGAGAUAGCUGGUUCUCCGCGAAAACUAUUUAGGUAGUGCGUCACGUAUGUCCGCCGGGGGUAGAGCACUGGAUGGGCUAGGGGGGAGCAGAUCCCUACCAAACCUAACCAAACUCCGAAUACCGGUGAGACCAGCGUGGCAGACAGACGGCGGGUGCUAAGAUCCGUCGUCGAAAGGGAAACAGCCCAGACCGCCGACUAAGGUCCCCAAGUCAUGGCUAAGUGGGAAAGGAUGUGGGAAGGCCAAAACAACCAGGAGGUUGGCUUAGAAGCAGCCACCCUUUAAAGAAAGCGUAAUAGCUCACUGGUCUAAUUAAGCCGUCCUGCGCCGAAGAUGUAUCGGGGCUAAAGCCAUGCACCGAAGUCGCGGACGCGUGCUUGCACGCGUGGUAGCGGAGCGUUCCGUACGCCUGCGAAGGUGGCUCGUGAGAGUUGCUGGAGGUAUCGGAAGUGAGAAUGCUGACAUGAGUAGCGAUAAAGAGGGUGAGAGACCCUCUCGCCGUAAGUCCAAGGUUUCCUGCGCAAGGUUAAUCCGCGCAGGGUGAGCCGGCCCCUAAGGCGAGGGCGAAAGCCGUAGUCGAUGGGAACCAGGUUAAUAUUCCUGGGCCUGCUGGUGGUGACGAAUACUGGACGUAGUUUACCCUUAUUGGAUUGGGUGGGCUGCCAAGGUGUUCCAGGAAAUAGCCCCAGCGUAAGACCGUACCCCAAACCGACACAGGUGGACUGGUAGAGCAUACCAAGGCGCUUGAGAGAAUGGCAUUGAAGGAACUCGGCAAAAUGCCCCCGUAACUUCGGGAGAAGGGGGCCCUGUUCCCGGGCAACCAGGAACAGGGGGCACAGACCAGGGGGUGGCGACUGUUUAUUAAAAACAUAGGUCUCUGCGAAGCUGCAAGGCGACGUAUAGGGACUGACGCCUGCCCGGUGCCGGAAGGUUAAGGGGAUGGGUGCAAGCCUUGAACUGAAGCCCCGGUAAACGGCGGCCGUAACUAUAACGGUCCUAAGGUAGCGAAAUUCCUUGUCGGGUAAGUUCCGACCCGCACGAAUGGCGUAACGACUUCCCCACUGUCUCCAAUGCCAACUCAGCGAAAUUGAACUCUCCGUGAAGAUGCGGAGUACCCGCGGCCAGACGGAAAGACCCCGUGCACCUUUACUAUAACUUUGCAGUGGUGCUAGCUAUGAUAUGUGUAGGAUAGGUGGGAGCCUUUGAAGCGUAGGCGUCAGCUUAUGUGGAGGCAAUCUUGAAAUACCACCCUUAGCAUGUCUGGCAUCUAACCGAGGCCCGUUAUCCGGGUCCGGGACACUGCAUGGUGGGUAGUUUGACUGGGGCGGUCGCCUCC